AAUUGACUUACAAUUUUAAGUCAGUCUGUUUUAUUGGAAUCUCAGUGUCAGUAGACUUGCUUCCAACGUGGUUUUAGUGCCUAUUUUUUGACCACAUGAUUGAAUGUUCUAAACUUAUUCGAUUAAUCCUGUCUUUAGUAUUUUAGGUUUUCAUUUUUCUGCUUUUAUAAGCUUUCUCCUAGCUGAAUCUUCCUGUGCAGUCUUUGUUAUGUCUUUAAGUUUAAAGUCUUAAGAAUGGAAUCGCUGGGGAGACGUGUAUAUAUCUUAAACUAUUUUUUAGAUUUUUUUUUUGCAGUAUCUUCUAAACAAGUAUUACCAAUCUGAUGUAGGAACAGUGGUGUAUCAGCAUAGUUUCCCCGCAGAAGUAUAUCUGACCUGAUGUUUCUCUUACUGAAAGUGUUAAUGACAGUAGUUUCGUCUUUGGAGUGUGUCCUCUGUGUCACAGUGAGGGCUGGCUGGCCUCUGUGAUGUUUCUCUUACUGAAAGUGUUAAUGACAGUAGUUUCGUCUUUGGAGUGUGUCCUCUGUGUCACAGUGAGGGCUGGCUGGCCUCUGUGAUGUUUCUCUUACUG
rnacentral:lncRNA from 1 species